rnacentral:tRNA from 1 species
GGCCGGUUAGCCCAGCUGGUUAGAGCGUGGUGCUAAUAACGCCAAGGUCCUGGGUCCGAUCCCCAUACUGGCCA